UUCUUUAUUUCUAUCUAAACAUUCUUUUUGACCACUUUUCCCAGGCUGUGAUCCCUUGAUAUUGUUCAUGGGUUUGGUGCACGAUUCAAGCACAAUUCCAGAACAGGAGAAUUCCCACGGACAUCAGCAGGUACCUGAAGAUCUCCAAACCAUUCCUUCCUCCUGGGUGUGCACAGCACUGUAGAUAUGCAGCCAAUCAUGCACAUCGCAUUUACCUGGUGUGAG
rnacentral:lncRNA from 1 species